rnacentral:rRNA from 1 species
GACGAACGCUGGCGGCGUGCCUAAUACAUGCAAGUCGAACGCACUCUCGUUUAGAUUGCCGGAGUUUGCUCCUGAUUGAUAAACAUUUGAGUGAGUGGCGGACGGGUGAGUAACACGUGGGUAACCUGCCCUAAAGUGGGGAUAACAUUUGGAAACAGAUGCUAAUACCGCAUAAAACCUAACACCGCAUGGUGUAGGGUUGAAAGAUGGUUUCGUCUAUCACUUUAGGAUGGACCCGCGGUGCAUUAGUUAGUUGGUGAGGUAAAGGCUCACCAAGACCGUGAUGCAUAGCCGACCUGAGAGGGUAAUCGGCCACACUGGGACUGAGACACGGCCCAGACUCCUACGGGAGGCAGCAGUAGGGAAUCUUCCACAAUGGACGAAAGUCUGAUGGAGCAACGCCGCGUGAGUGAAGAAGGUUUUCGGAUCGUAAAACUCUGUUGUUGGAGAAGAAUGUAUGUGAGAGUAACUGAUCAGGUAGUGACGGUAUCAAAACAGAAAGCCACGGCUAACUACGUG